rnacentral:ncRNA from 2 species
UACAACCAAACAGCGGCAGGUGCCCGGCCCUAGGUCGGGCUUAAAAAGGGAAUCGGGUGCAACUCCCGAACAGACGCGCUACUGUAAGUACCCGCUAGCCAAGUCUUUUCGAGCAAGCCAUUGCCCCGCACCUAGGGGCGAGAAGGCCGGAAGGAUGGUACAAGUCAGGAGACCUGCCCGCCGCUGCUUGGGUGA